CCUGUGCAGAGUUUAGUGCCAUCCCAGCACUAACUAACAGACUGGCUACGGCUGAUCAACUAAUCAUCAAACCUUGACUAUAGCUGUUAACGGGUGUGUUAGUGCUGGGUUGGAACUAAUCCCUGCACCCCAUGUGGGUCCCAUGGACCAGGAUUAAGAACAGUGAUCGAAACCAUUAUAUAUAUAUAUAUAAUGUUACAUAGGCUUGUCUCCCAAAUGGCACUUAUUCCCUAUAUAGUGCACAACUUUCAACAUAGGGCUCUGGUCAACAGUAGUGCACUACGUAGGGGGUAUAGGUCAACACUAGUGCACUCCGGAAGGGAUAGGUCAACAGUAGUGCACUACAUAGGGCUUUGUCAACACAUGUGCACUACGUAGGGGAUAGGUCAAGAGUAGUGCACUACGUAGGGGAUAGGUCAAGAGUAGUGCACUACGUAGGGGAUAGGUCAACAGUAGUGCACUACGUAGGGGACUGGGUGCUAUGUAAGGGGCAGACAGAGUGAGAUCAGAGUAGAACUUAAAGACCUAAACUGAGAAAGUGACCUACUAUAUUGUUAAAACAAUUAGAAAAUAACAUGACAACUAUGGGAAAAGAACAUUCCUGUUAAAUGGCAGCAUGAAUGAAUGUAAGGCUGCGUAACUAAUGAAAACAUGAAUGAAUGUAAGGCUGUGUAACUAAUGGAAACAUGAAUUAAAGUAAGGCUGUGUAACUAAUGAAAACAUGAAUGAAUGUAAGGCUGCGUAACUAAUGGAAACAUGAAUGAAUGUAAGGCUGUGUAACUAAUGGAAACAUGAAUGAAAGUAAGGCUGUGUAACUAAUGGAAACAUGAAUGAAUGUAAGGCUGUGUAACUAACGAAAACAUGAAUGAAAGUAAGGCUGUGUAACUAAUGGAAACAUGAAUGAAAGUAAGGCUGUGUAACUAAUGAAAACAUGAAUGAAAGUAAGGCUGUGUAACUAAUGAAAACAUUAAUGAAUGUAAGGCUGUGUAACUAAUGGAAACAUGAAUUAAAGUAAGGCUGUGUAACUAAUGGAAACAUGAAUGAAUGUAAGGCUGUGUAACUAAUGAAAACAUGAAUGAAAGUAAGGCUGUGUAACUAAUGAAAACAUGAAUGAAAGUAAGGCUGUGUAACUAAUGAAAACAUGAAUGAAAGUAAGGCUGUGUAACUAAUGAAAACAUGAAUGAAAGUAAGGCUGUGUAACUAAUGAAAACAUGAAUGAAAGUAAGGCUGUGUAACUAAUGAAAACAUGAAUGAAUGUAAGGCUGUGUAACUAAUGAAAACAUGAAUGAAAGUAAGGCUGUGUAACUAAUGAAAACAUGAAUGAAAGUAAGGCUGUGUAACUAAUGGAAACAUGAAUGAAUGUAAGGCUGUGUAACUAAUGAAAACAUGAAUGAAAGUAAGGCUGUGUAACUAAUGAAAACAUGAAUGAAUGUAAGGCUGUGUAACUAAUGAAAACAUGAAUGAAAGUAAGGCUGUGUGUGUGAAAUAAUGAGAUGAAGAAGUCGGUUCAUUCCUUCGUCUGUGCAUUCUGUUCUCUGAAACAAAUUAUCGUCACGAAAGACAUUCGUAAAACAAUCCGCACAAACGUCGUCCAUCGCAGAUGAGCAACAUUUGAUUUGAACAUGACACCAUAAUGACUAUAAAUAAAAGAGAACUUGAUAAUGCAUUUAGGCUAUAAAUAGAAGAAGAACAUCUUCAACAGGUACUAUAGUAGUAUUCAGAUUAAUUACAUGAAAUCAACAUGUACAACAGGUACUAUAGUAGUAUUCAGAUGAUUUACAUGAAAUCGACAUGUACAAUGGGUACUAUAGUAGUAUUCAUGUGAUUUACAUGAAAUCAACAUGUACAAUGGGUACUAUAGUAGUAUUCAGAUGAUUUACAUGAAAUCGACAUGUACAAUGGGUACUAUAGUAGUAUUCAGAUCAUUUACAUGAAAACGACAUGUACAAUGGGUACUAUAGUGGUAUUCAGAUGAUUUACAUGAAAUCGACAUGUACAACAGGUACUAUAGUAGUAUUCAGAUGAUUUACAUGAAAUCAACAUGUACAAUGGGUACUAUAGUAGUAUUCAGAUCAUUUACAAGAAAACAUAAAUACAUAUAUACAUACAUUAUUCCAUAAACAUAAAUAAAUAGCAUUAUAAACACCCCAAAAUUAUUAGUUUUAAAUUAUGUUUUAUUGUUACAUACACCAUAGUAGUAUGAUAGGUGUUGUUUUACAGGGUCAGCCCAUAGUAGUAUGAUAGAUGUUGUUUUACAGGGUCAGCCCAUAGUAGUAUGAUAGAUGUUGUUUUACAGGGUCAGCCCAUAGUAGUAUGAUAGGUGUUGUUUUACAGGGUCAGCCCAUAGUAGUAUGAUAGAUGUUGUUUUACAGGGUCAGCCCAUAGUAGUAUGAUAGAUGUUGUUUUACAGGGUCAGUCAUAGUAGUAUGAUAGAUGUUAUUUUACAGGGUCAGUCAUAGUAGUAUGAUAGGUGUUGUUUUACAGGGUCAGUCAUAGUAGUAUGAUAGGUGUUGUUUUACAGGGUCAGCCAUAGUAGUAUGAUAGGUGUUGUUUUACAGGGUCAGCCAUAGUAGUAUGAUAGGUGUUGUUUUACAGGGUCAGCCAUAGUAGUAUGAUAGGUGUUGUUUUACAGGGUCUUCCCAUAGUAGUAUGAUAGAUGUUGUUUUACAGGGUCAGCCAUAGUAGUAUGAUAGGUGUUGUUUUACAGGGUCAGUCAUAGUAGUAUGAUAGGUGUUGUUUUACAGGGUCAGUCAUAGUAGUAUGAUAGGUGUUGUUUUACAGGGUCAGCCCAUAGUAGUAUGAUAGGUGUUGUUCUACAGGGUCAGCCCAUAGUAGUACUGCGCCCCAGGA